rnacentral:tRNA from 1 species
UGUUCUGUGGUUUAGUUGGUCAAAGCGCCGGACCAGAGAUACGUAGUCGUAGGUUCGAAUCCCACCUAAACAA